AACGAACGCUGGCGGCAUGCCUAACACAUGCAAGUCGAACGAGACCUUCGGGUCUAGUGGCGCACGGGUGCGUAACGCGUGGGAACCUGCCCUUAGGUUCGGAAUAACUCCCCGAAAGGGGUGCUAAUACCGGAUAAUGUCUUCGGACCAAAGAUUUAUCGCCUCUGGAUGGGCCCGCGUUGUAUUAGCUAGUUGGUAGGGUAAAAGCCUACCAAGGCGACGAUCCAUAGCUGGUCUGAGAGGAUGAUCAGCCACACUGGGACUGAGACACGGCCCAGACUCCUACGGGAGGCAGCAGUGGGGAAUAUUGGAAAAUGGGCGAAAGCCUGAACCAGCAAUGCCGCGUGAGUGAUGAAGGCCUUAGGGUUGUAAAGCUCUUUUACCCGGGAUGAUAAUGACAGUACCGGGAGAAUAAGCUCCGGCUAACUCCGUG
rnacentral:rRNA from 1 species